UACGGAGGGGGCUAGCGUUGUUCGGAAUUACUGGGCGUAAAGCGUAUGCAGGCGGACUUUUAAGUCGGGGGUGAAAUCCCGAGGCUCAACCUCGGAACUGCCUUCGAUACUGGAAGUCUUGAGUCCGGGAGAGGUGAGUGGAACUCCGAGUGUAGAGGUGAAAUUCGUAGAUAUUCGGAAGAACACCAGUGGCGAAGGCGGCUCACUGGCCCGGUACUGACGCUGAGAUACGAAAGCGUGGGGAGCAAACAGG
rnacentral:rRNA from 1 species